GAUGAAGAACGUAGCGAAAUGCGACAAGUAAUGUGAAUUGCAGAAUUCAGUGAAUCAUCGAGUCUUUGAACGCACAUUGCGCCCCCUGGUAUUCCGGGGGGCAUGCCUGUCCGAGCGUCAUUGCUGCCCUCAAGCACGGCUUGGGUGUUGGGCCUCCGUCCUCCUCCCGGGGGACGGGCCCGAAAGGCAGCGGCGGCACCGCGUCCGGUCCUCGAGCGUAUGGGGCUUCGUCACCCGCUCUUGUAGGCCCGGCCGGCGCUUGCCGACACAUCAAUCUUUUUUCCAGGUUGACCUCGGAUCAGGUAGGGAUACCCGCUGAACUUAAGCAUAUCAAUAAGCGGAGGA
rnacentral:misc_RNA from 1 species